UUUAGAUGACGAAGUGGUUGAUGCCAUGCUUCCAAGAAAAGCUUCUAAGCUUCAGGUAACCAGGAACCGUACCCCAAACCGACACAGGUGGUCGGGUAGAGAAUACCAAGGCGCUUGAGAGAACUCGGGUGAAGGAACUAGGCAAAAUGGCACCGUAACUUCGGGAGAAGGUGCGCCGGCUAGGGUGAAGGAUUUACUCCGUAAGCUCUGGCUGGUCGAAGAUACCAGGCCGCUGCGACUGUUUAUUAAAAACACAGCACUCUGCAAACACGAAAGUGGACGUAUAGGGUGUGACGCCUGCCCGGUGCCGGAAGGUUAAUUGAUGGGGUUAGCGCAAGCGAAGCUCUUGAUCGAAGCCCCGGUAAACGGCGGCCGUAACGAUAACGGUCCUAAGGUAGCGAAAUUCCUUGUCGGGUAAGUUCCGACCUGCACGAAUGGCGUAACGAUGGCGGCGCUGUCUCCACCCGAGACUCAGUGAAAUUGAAAUCGCUGUGAAGAUGCAGUGUAUCCGCGGCUAGACGGAAAGACCCCGUGAACCUUUACUGUAGCUUUGCACUGGACUUUGAGCCUGCUUGUGUAGGAUAGGUGGGAGGCUUUGAAGCGUGGACGCCAGUUCGCGUGGAGCCAUCCUUGAAAUACCACCCUGGCAUGCUUGAGGUUCUAACUCUGGUCCGUAAUCCGGAUCGAGGACAGUGUAUGGUGGGCAGUUUGACUGGGGCGGUCUCCUCCUAAAGAGUAACGGAGGAGUACGAAGGUGCGCUCAGACCGGUCGGAAAUCGGUCGCAGAGUAUAAGGGCAAAAGCGCGCUUGACUGCGAGACAGACACGUCGAGCAGGUACGAAAGUAGGUCUUAGUGAUCCGGUGGUUCUGUAUGGAAGGGCCAUCGCUCAACGGAUAAAAGGUACUCCGGGGAUAACAGGCUGAUACCGCCCAAGAGUUCAUAUCGACGGCGGUGUUUGGCACCUCGAUGUCGGCUCAUCACAUCCUGGGGCUGAAGCCGGUCCCAAGGGUAUGGCUGUUCGCCAUUUAAAGUGGUACGCGAGCUGGGUUUAGAACGUCGUGAGACAGUUCGGUCCCUAUCUGCCGUGGACGUUUGAGAUUUGAGAGGGGCUGCUCCUAGUACGAGAGGACCGGAGUGGACGAACCUCUGGUGUUCCGGUUGUCACGCCAGUGGCAUUGCCGGGUAGCUAUGUUCGGAAAAGAUAACCGCUGAAAGCAUCUAAGCGGGAAACUUGCCUCAAGAUGAGAUCUCACUGGGAACUUGAUUCCCCUGAAGGGCCGUCGAAGACUACGACGUUGAUAGGCUGGGUGUGUAAGCGUUGUGAGGCGUUGAGCUAACCAGUACUAAUUGCCCGUGAGGCUUGACC
rnacentral:rRNA from 1 species